CACCUCGAGGAUCCUUCGCCCGCA
rnacentral:siRNA from 1 species